rnacentral:other from 1 species
UAAAGCCUGCCGGGUGCGAUUCUCCUUGAAUACUAACCCAACGAUUUUUAAACGGGAGCCUAACUCGAAAGCGGAUUGCAGACCUCCCCUUUUUGGGAUGCUGGGAGCAUGGUAGUGGACGGAGGGCACCCACCUGCUUUGCUUGCAGGUUAAUAUAUCUUGGACCCCGGCUCGGCGGGUGACAU